rnacentral:tRNA from 1 species
GCCGUUUAGCUCAGUGGAUAGAGCAUUGACCUGUGGAGUCAAGGGUCCCAGGUUCAAUUCUGGUCAAGGGCA